rnacentral:rRNA from 1 species
GGAGUUAGCCGGUGCUUCUUCUGUGAGUGAUGUCCUUCCUGCCGGUUAUUGACCCGCAGGCCUUCUUCCUCACUGAAAGUGCUUUACAACCCGAAGGCCUUCUUCACACACGCGGCAUGGCUGGAUCAGGGUUGCCCCCAUUGUCCAAUAUUCCCCACUGCUGCCUCCCGUAGGAGUCUGGGCCGUGUCUCAGUCCCAGUGUGGCUGAUCAUCCUCUCAGACCAGCUACGGAUCGUCGCCUUGGUGAGCCGUUACCUCACCAACCAGCUAAUCCGACAUAGGCUCAUCCGAUAGCGCGAGGCCCGAAGGUCCCCCGCUUUCCCCCGUAGGGCGUAUGCGGUAUUAGCCUGGGUUUCCCCAGGUUAUCCCCCACUACCGGGCAGAUUCCUAUGCAUUACUCACCCGUCCGCCGCUCGCCACCAGGGAGCAAGCUCCCCGUGCUGCCGCUCGACUUGCAUGUGUUAGGCCGUCGCCGCCACGCGUUCAUCUGAGCCAGAAUACGAACCCGUACGA